CCCUUAGAUGUUCUGGGCUGCACGCGCGCUACACUGAUACUUUCAGCGAGUCCACCACCUUGCCUGGGAGGGUGGGGUAACCUCUGGAAAGUGCAUCGUGAUGGGGAUCGAUUAUUGUAAUUAUUAAUCUUUAACGAGGAAUUCCUAGUAAGCGCGAGUCAUCAGCUCGUGCUGAUUACGUCCCUGCCCUUUGUACACACCGCCCGUCGCUACUACCGAUUGAAUGGUUUAGUGAGAUCUUCGGAUUGGCGCCACUGCGGCUCAGCAAUGGGCUCGGUGGAUGCCGAAAAGUUGAUCAAACUUGAUCAUUUAGAGGAAGUAAAAGUCGUAACA
rnacentral:rRNA from 1 species